CAGAGAAUAGUUUAUGAAAAAAUAUUAGUUUUGGGAAUUAAAGAUAAAAGAAUUUUUUCUCUGA
rnacentral:tRNA from 1 species